GAUGAACGCUGGCGGCGUGCUUAACACAUGCAAGUCGAACGAAGCGGCUAUGAUUGAGACUUCGGUGGAUUGAAUAGUUGACUUAGUGGCGGACGGGUGAGUAACGCGUGGGUAACCUGCCUCGUACAGGGGGAUAACAGUUAGAAAUGACUGCUGAUACCGCAUAACCCGCUAAGGUCGCAUGACCUAGACGGAAAAGAUUUAUCGGUACGAGAUGGACCCGCGUCUGAUUAGCUAGUUGGUGAGGUAACGGCUCACCAAGGCGACGAUCAGUAGCCGGCCUGAGAGGGUGAACGGCCACAUUGGGACUGAGACACGGCCCAAACUCCUACGGGAGGCAGCAGUGGGGAAUAUUGCACAAUGGGGGAAACCCUGAUGCAGCGACGCCGCGUGAGUGAAGAAGUAUUUCGGUAUGUAAAGCUCUAUCAGCAAGGAGAAAAUGACGGUACUUGACUAGAAGCCCCGGCUAACUACGUGCCAGCAGCCGC
rnacentral:rRNA from 1 species